rnacentral:rRNA from 1 species
GAUGAACGCUGGCGGCGUGCCUAAUACAUGCAAGUCGAGCGAACAGACGAGGAGCUUGCUCCUCUGACGUUAGCGGCGGACGGGUGAGUAACACGUGGAUAACCUACCUAUAAGACUGGGAUAACUUCGGGAAACCGGAGCUAAUACCGGAUAAUAUAUUGAACCGCAUGGUUCAAUAGUGAAAGACGGUUUUGCUGUCACUUAUAGAUGGAUCCGCGCCGCAUUAGCUAGUUGGUAAGGUAACGGCUUACCAAGGCAACGAUGCGUAGCCGACCUGAGAGGGGGAUCGGCCACAGUGGAACUGAGACAGGGUCCAGACUCCUAGGGGAGGCAGCAGUGGGGAAUCUGCGACAAUGGGCGAAAGCCUGAGGGAGCAACGCCGCGGGAGUGAAGAAGGUCUUCGGAUCGAAAACCUCUUUUAGGAGGAAAGAAAAGAUGUGAAAGAAACUAGGCCGUUCUUGACGGUACCUAAAAAAAAAGCCCCGGCUAACUACGUG